AAUCCAUAGGUUAAUGAGGCGAACCGGGGGAACUGAAACAUCUAAGUACCCCGAGGAAAAGAAAUCAACCGAGAUUCCCCCAGUAGCGGCGAGCGAACGGGGAGGAGCCCAGAGCCUGAAUCAGCAUGUGUGUUAGUGGAAGCGUCUGGAAAGGCGCGCGAUACAGGGUGACAGCCCCGUACACAAAAGCGCAUGUGCUGUGAGCUCGAUGAGUAGGGCGGGACACGUGGUAUCCUGUCUGAAUAUGGGGGGACCAUCCUCCAAGGCUAAAUACUCCUGACUGACCGAUAGUGAACCAGUACCGUGAGGGAAAGGCGAAAAGAACCCCGGCGAGGGGAGUGAAAAAGAACCUGAAACCGUGUACGUACAAGCAGUGGGAGCACCCUUUUGGGUGUGACUGCGUACCUUUUGUAUAAUGGGUCAGCGACUUAUAUUCUGUAGCAAGGUUAACCGAAUAGGGGAGCCGGAGGGAAACCGAGUCUUAAUUGGGCGUUAAGUUGCAGGGUAUAGACCCGAAACCCGGUGAUCUAGCCAUGGGCAGGUUGAAGGUUGGGUAACACUAACUGGAGGACCGAACCGACUAAUGUUGAAAAAUUAGCGGAUGACCUGUG
rnacentral:rRNA from 1 species